GCCGGUGGCCAUGGUGGGGUGGAUAUACCCGUUCCCGUUCCGAACACGGAAGUCAAGCGCCCCUACGCCGAUGAUACUCCAGACCGGGGGAAAGUAGGCAGCCGCCGGCU
rnacentral:rRNA from 1 species